AUCUACGGCCAUACCACCCUGAACAUGCCCCAUUUUGUCUGAUCUCAGAAGCUAAGCAGGGUCGGGCCUGCUUAGUACUUGGAUUGGAGAAGCAAAAGAUUCAACUGAAAAAGGUGGGUGGAAACAGUGCUGAGAAUA
ensembl:rRNA 5S_rRNA 5S ribosomal RNA